rnacentral:rRNA from 1 species
GUUUGAUCCUGGCUCAGGAUGAACGCUAGCGGCAGGCUUAAUACAUGCAAGUCAAGGGGGUAGCAAUACAACCGGCGCACGGGUGAGUAACGCGUACACAACAUACCAUAUACUGGAGUAUAGCUUUGGGAAACUGAAGGUAAUCCUCCAUAACAUUGCGAGUAGGCAUCUAUUUGCAAUUAAAAGUUUCGACGGUAUAUGAUUGGUGUGCGUUUGAUUAGCUAGUUGGUAGGGUAACGGCCUACCAAGGCGACGAUCAAUAGCUGGCGUGAGAGCGCGACCAGCCACACUGGAACUGAGACACGGUCCAGACUCCUACGGGAGGCAGCAGUAGGGAAUAUUGGACAAUGGGCGAAAGCCUGAUCCAGCCAUGCCGCGUGAUAGAUGAAGGCCCUCUGGGGUUGUAAAUAUCUUUUAUCUGGGAAGAAACUCCUCUAUUCUUAGAGGCCUGACGGUACCAGAGGAAUAAGCACCGGCUAACUCCGUGCCAGCAGCCGCGGUAAUACGGAGGG